rnacentral:rRNA from 1 species
GACGAACGCUGGCGGCGUGCUUAACACAUGCAAGUCGAACGGUGAACCGCGCUUGCGCGGGGAUCAGUGGCGGACGGGUGAGUAACACGUGGGUAACCUGCCCAUAAGACUGGGAUAACAUUCGGAAACGAAUGCUAAUACCGGAUACGCGAAUUGGUCGCAUGGCCGAAUCGGGAAAGGCGGAGCAAUCUGCCACUUAUGGAUGGACCCGCGGCGCAUUAGCUAGUUGGUGGGGUAACGGCUCACCAAGGCGACGAUGCGUAGCCGACCUGAGAGGGUGAUCGGCCACACUGGGACUGAGACACGGCCCAGACUCCUACGGGAGGCAGCAGUAGGGAAUCUUCCGCAAUGGACGAAAGUCUGACGGAGCAACGCCGCGUGAGUGAUGAAGGUUUUCGGAUCGUAAAGCUCUGUUGCCAGGGAAGAACGCUUGCGAGAGUAACUGCUCGCAAGGUGACGGUACCUGAGAAGAAAGCCCCGGCUAACUACGUGCCAGCAGCCGCAGUAACAC